rnacentral:rRNA from 1 species
AGAGUUUGAUUCUGGCUCAGAACGAACGCUGGCGGCGUGGAUAAGACAUGCAAGUCGAACGCUAAUUUUAUUGGGGUAACUUGAUGAAGUUGGAGUGGCGAACGGGUGAGUAACACGUGGGUAAUUUGCCGUAAGGCUGGGGAUAACUUGCUGAAAAGUGAGCUAAUACCUAAUGUGAACUUUGGGAGGCAUCUUCCGAAGUUUAAAGGUGGGGUGACCUGCCGCUUUAUGAUAAGCCCGCGACCUAUCAGCUUGUUGGUGAGGUAAUGGCUCACCAAGGCAAUGACGGGUAGUUGGUCUGAGAGGAUGAUCAGCCACACUGGAACUGAGACACGGUCCAGACACCUACGGGUGGCAGCAGUCGAGAAUCAUUCGCAAUGGGCGAAAGCCUGACGGUGCGACGCCGCGUGGGGGAUGAAGGACUUAGGUUCGUAAACCCCUGUCAUUUGUGAGAAAACCUCUAAUGUUAAUAGCAUUAGAGCUGAUAGUAGCAAAAGAGGAAGGGACGGCUAACUCUGUGCCAGCAGCCGCGGUAAUACAGAGGUCCCAAGCGUUGUUCGGAUUUACUGGGCGUAAAGCGUGCGUAGGUGGCGGAAAAAGUUUGACGUGAAAGCUCUGGGCUCAACCCGGAAAAUGCGUUGAAAACUGUUUCGCUUGAGGGUCAGAGGGGAGACUGGAAUUCUCGGUGUAGCGGUGAAAUGCGUAGAUAUCGAGAGGAACACCAGUGGCGAAGGCGAGUCUCUGGAUGACACCUGACACUGAGGCACGAAAGCUAGGGGAGCGAACAGGAUUAGAUACCCUGGUAGUCCUAGCCGUAAAUGGUGCGCGCUUGCUGCGGGGGGAAUCGACCCCUUCCGUGGCGGAGCUAACGCGUUAAGCGCGCCGCCUGGGGAGUACGGCCGCAAGGCUAAAACUCAAAGAAAUUGACGGGGGCCUGCACAAGCGGUGGAGUAUGUGGCUUAAUUCGAUUCAACGCGAAGAACCUUACCUGGGUUUGACAUGCAUCUCUAAAUCGGUGAAAGCCGGUGAGUCCGCAAGGACAAUUUGCACAGGUCCUGCAUGGCUGUCGUCAGCUCGUGUCGUGAGAUGUUGGGUUAAGUCCCGCAACGAGCGCAACCCUCGUGUCCUGUUGCCACCCCGAAAGGGAGCACUCUGGACAGACUGCCUCGCUAUAACGAGGAGGAAGGUGGGGAUGACGUCAAGUCAGUAUGGCCCUUACGCCCAGGGCUGCACACGUACUACAAUGCCCGGUACAAAGGGAAGCCAAUCCGCGAGGUGGAGCAAAUCUCAGAAAACCGGGCCCAGUUCGGAUUGUAGUCUGCAACUCGACUACAUGAAGCCGGAAUCGCUAGUAAUGGCGCAUCAGCUACGGCGCCGUGAAUACGUUCCCAGGCCUUGUACACACCGCCCGUCACAUCAUGAAAGCCGGUUGUACCCGAAGUCGUUGGGCUAACCAUUAGGGGGCAGACGCCGAAGGUAUGGCUGGUGAUUGGGAUGAAGUCGUAACAAGGUA